GCUGGAAGACCCCUGCAGAAUCUCUGGGGUCAGCAGAAUCUCUGCUGGGUCUGUGCCAGGGAGAGGAGGAGGCGGCAGCAGCCACAGGCCACCAAUGUCAGGCGGAUGCAAACAAGCCACCUUGCGAAGUGCUGCCUUUAACCAGCCCAAGAGGAAGCAGAGCAGUUCCCGAAGGGAUUGCAGACGACGGAAGUACAGUACCAUGCAGUUAACAAAAAAAAAUAAUAUUUUAAAAUACAGAAGUAAUUCUAACUCUCUAGUCCUCAAACCCAGCAAGCAGUAGGUCUCCCACGAAGCUCCAGCAAAGCAGAGCUUGCAAAACUCAGCCAGUCGGCUUCGACCACGUGAUCAGGCACAAAAAAAACUCACUUCCGGCUUCCAUCCGAGCCACGUGGCUGCAGAGACCUCUUUUUGGUAGCGGUUUUGCACGUUUAACACGACCUCCCCGCCAAGGAGGACUUCCUGUCCGCCCGCUGCGGUCGUCCCCCGGUGCCUUCGGCUACGGCCGACUUCCUGUCCUGUGGAGGUGGAAGGAGAUGAUGAGGAAUUGGUGAAAAAAACCAACAAAUGUUUCCUGGUUUGGGAGGGCACGGCAAAGGAGCGGAGCUUUGGCGAGGUGAAGUUCAAGCAGUGUCCUACUGAAAACAUGGCACGGGAGCAUUUUAAGAAACACGGCACUGAGCAUUAUUGGGAUCUGGCUCUGAGCGAGUCAGUCCUAGAACCCACAGACUGACGGCCUUUUCUGGAGCCCCUUCUCACAUUUCUGGGCGUUUGACAUAAAGAGCAAGAACCGAGCAGAAACAUUAGACUCUAAGCCCCCCCCCUCCUCAUUCCCACAAAUUCCUCACAGUACAAUGCAUACAAUUAAAGGAAAUAUUUUUCAGAUCCAAAUAACAGGUUUUGAUUUUAAUGUUUGGCUUUGGACUAACAGGACACACGUGUGAGAGAGAUCUUCAACUUCCCCUCUGCCACAAGUACACCUUCACUCAGUCUUGGGGUUUUAUCAUUCCUGCCCUGCAGGAGUGCCAAGGAGAGGAUAUUAAAAUGUCUGGCUCU